UGUACCGAUUAGGUUUUUUCAAGAACCUAAUUCUACCCUCUCAGAACCUCCUUUGAAUUUUUGAUUCUCCUUCUUUAGGACCCUCAUAACCUUUAUUUGGACUAGAUAAGGCUUUGUCUUAAAUCCCAAAGCCUUAUCCUAAAACUAAAAUGGGUUGUAAGAAAGAAGGAAGAGCAAUGAAGAUAAAAUUAGAAACUCGAUCUGAAUGCCAUGGACACCCAGCACCCCGACCAUUUUAUAGCCACC
rnacentral:lncRNA from 1 species